rnacentral:rRNA from 1 species
GCGAUCGCUGGCGGCAGGCCUAAUACAUGCAAGUCGAGCGGCCCUUCGGGGCAGCGGCGGACGGGUGAGUAACGCGUGGGAAUAUGCCCUUUGGUACGGAACAACACAGGGAAACUUGUGCUAAUACCGUAUGUGCCCUUCGGGGGAAAGAUUUAUCGCCAUUGGAGUAGCCCGCGUUGGAUUAGCUAGUUGGUGGGGUAAAGGCCCACCAAGGCUACGGUCCAUAGCUGGUCUGAGAGGAUGAUCAGCCACACUGGGACUGAGACACGGCCCAGACUCCUACGGGAGGCAGCAGUAGGGAAUCUUGCGCGAUGGGCGAAAGCCUGACGCAGCCAUGCCGCGUGAAUGAUGAAGGUCUUAGGAUUGUAAAAUUCUUUCACCGGGGAAGAUAAUGACGGUACCCGGAGAAGAAGCCCCGGCUAACUUCGUGCCAGCCGCCGCCGUAAAAC